CCCAUCCAGUCACCUGUCAGCUUUCCUCAGAGCCUUACACGCCCACACUGUCACAUCCCCACACCAGGCUGCUGAUGCUUGAACGUCACCCCUCCUAGACCGACCCUCCCUGGACAGCGUCUUCUUUCUCCUUCCUGCCUCUGCCAUAGACUGAGGGUGUUUGCUGAAUACGUGCGUGGAAAAAGAGACGAGGGAUAGCAGGUUGAGGAAUGGAGCCAUCAGGGAAUAAGCUGUGUGGAGCUGAAAGUAGAAUGCCACAGUUGAUAACGAUGUGCUGUGAGACCUUGUUGUAGUUGAGUAUGUAUCUGUGGUGUGGCCUGGACCAGCAAGCCAAGCUUCGGUCCUGAAGGAGAGGACGAGGGAUGAGAAGAUAAAAAGAUAUGAAAGUUGGGAUCAGGAGGUGUUGCAUCCACAGAUGGCUCGUGCUGAUAGGAUUAACAGAAGCAGCUGCUGAAGCUACUGCAGUGACUAUUGCAAAAAUUUGGAUCUGAAGAAGUUAAGUAUCUCAGACUUGGCCAGGCGUUGGUGGCGCACAUCUUUAAUCCCAGCACUCACUCGGGAGGCAGA